UUAAAUCUGCAUUGAUUUAUGCGGCGUUAGACGCGUUUUUGCAAUAUGGCCGCAAUUCAAACGUCGUUUUCACGUUCGCAACCACCAAGUUGCAUCAUCCCAUAAAACACAUAAUGUCUACAAUGUAUCUAUUCCAAUUAGAAUGUAGUUUAAUAGUGCAGUCGAAAGGCCUUAUCAGUUGUUUGUCUGCUUUUCACAUGUUUCAAACGUUCACUUUGCGGCAGUAGAGUGCCAAUUUUACAGCACUGCUAACACAAAGAGAGGCCAUGUUGUUGUUUUGAUUUUAACAUUCCAACACAAUUCGGCACUGCUGAUAACGCACUCUUAUUUUUAUUUUCAAGCGUUGCAUUUAUCAUUUAGUUAUUCUUUAGUACUUGUUACAUUUUAAUUCUGUUUUAUUUUCUGUUUCUUGUGUGCGAUGUUGUUGAUGCUGCAUUCCGAUCGGAUUAUCAACCGACUUCUUGAAACCGUUCCUGUUUCCCAUCGCAGGCAUAUGACAUUCCCCGGUCCGCCACAAGAUGUCCAGGAGUAGUCAUGCUUUCCCAGGAAUGGGAACAGGUUUGAACAUUGCUACAAAGUUUUUACAUUGUCUCUAAUAAUUUUGAAUUUUUCUGUUACUAACUACUUUCUGCUUGUCUUUCAGGUACAUAUUUGAUUUAUUUGGGCAUUUUUGUAAUUCGGGCGCGUUCGUUAUAGGUUUAUGUACUUUGUGUGUUUACUAAUAUUCCACUCCUUCAUGUUUAAACAAACUUCCUCUUAAUAUCAUUAUUAUUUUAUUAUUUUUUAAUUAUUUUUUUAUUCUUUUAAUAUUCUUUCAUAAUUUAAAAAAAUCCUUGCCAAUUUAGAUUAAUUUAUUAUUUAUUUAUUAUUUUAUUCUUAAAAAAAAUUAGUUCCGAAUAUCUACUAAAUCAUCCUUACCCAGUAUUUUUAAUCUUCGUUUGAUUCACAGGUAUAAGUGAUAAACGUUAUUCGCGAGGGACCUGGAGAGGUGUAACGAAAUACUUAUCGAGUGCGGGUUGCGACGCGUUUUAAUUUAACAAUUUUAUUGAAUCGCGAUCAAUUAGCUACCGAAGGAGGGUCGUGCCUUGUCCCCUUUCACCUGUUAGGGAAAGUACGCGGUGUUUAUAAAUAUUUAUCCAAAUAUGCGACAAAUCGAGUGCGGGACGCGAUUAAAAAUCGGAAAGUAUUGCGUAAUCCGUAUUGUUCUAUUAUAAUGCGCGAUAAAAACAAUUCCAAUUCCAUGAAGGUUUGUACGGGACCUCAACGGACUUCAAGCAUCCUACCAGCGGUUUGGACUCAAGAUUGUAUUAAAAUAUCAACGCCUUAAGUAUUACAGCAUUCGUUGUGCCCGGCAGUCCGAUAAGCUGUACACUGUAUUCGCUGUACCAUGGAGUCUGAUGAGUUCUUAAUUAACGUAAACGUUAACGCUACCCAUCUACGGUGCCCUAAAUGGGUGUAACUUCUACCGCUACCUUCGUACGGUGCCUUGAAUGGGAGUCACUUCUACCGCUAUCUUCGUACUUUGCCUUAAAUGGGAGUCUUUAUGGAUCCUUUGUUGAAUGAAGCAUUAGCUAAUCCUGAGAUGGACAACUUUAUCAAUAAGGACCAACUGGAGAGGUUCCGUGGUACUGGUGGAGUGCGUAUUGAGGAUUAUGUUUUGUUUACUGAAGAUGGAUGUGUCAACUGGACUAAAAUACCCAGAACUGUCCAAGAAAUUGAAGAUUGGAUUGCCGGUGUUGAUGAUGAUUCCAAAUACGAUUGAAUGAAUUUACAACAUUUUGAAGCUGAUAUUGAUAUCAUUUUUAUGUAUUUUGUUAAAAGAUAUAAAGCAUUAUAUAAUUGCAUAUUAUUAUCCUGUUUUCAUGCAUGUUUUGUUAAAAAUGGUGUAUAUAUUGAGAAAUUGUGUUUGUGAAUCAACAUGUUUCAAUAAAAUUGUUGUUUUAUAUUUUUAACUAUAAA